CCGAACCUCGCCAGUGUGUCGUAAUUAAACCGCCGAAUCCGUUCUAUACGAAUGUUAUCAUUAACGUGCACACCGAUUUCGACGUUGUCUUCCACUGAUCGCAAUUGUGUACUUUCGUUCUUGCCAUUUCAGUGCGUCUGUAUAUUUUUUCAGGUUUUCGUCCCGUCUACACAGCUAUUUAUCAACUCUCCGAACGUCUUUGGCUAUAGGUUUCUUCCCAGAUUUUAUAGGUUCCCGAUAUCUUCGUCGCGACAACUCGUCUAAGCCGAUAGAUUCUCUCUGUGACUUCGUAUAUUUCGUUGUACCCCGCAGUCAUCUCCCGGACAGAAAGGAACAUUAUAAUAUUUAUUUUAUCGUACCAUUUUUGUUUUUUGAAAUUUCUUGAAAAUAGCAUUUGAUCUCGCGUUACUUGAGGCCACGUGUCUUGUUAUUUAUACUAAACUAUACAUAUCUAUAUGCAGCAUUAUUGAUUUGAAAAUAAAAAAUAAUACACAAACGCCGGUGCAGUGCGUCCAGCCGAGUAAGUGAAUCGACUUUUUCGGU